rnacentral:rRNA from 1 species
AUGAACGCUGGCGGCGUGCCUAAUACAUGCAGGUCGAGCGAACGGACGAGAAGCUUGCUUCUCUGAUGUUAGCGGCGGACGGGUGAGUAACACGUGGAUAACCUACCUAUAAGACUGGGAUAACUUCGGGAAACCGGAGCUAAUACCGGAUGAUAUUUUGAACCGCAUGGUUCAAAAGUGAAAGACGGUCUUGCUGUCACUUAUAGAUGGAUCCGCGCUGCAUUAGCUAGUUGGUAAGGUAACGGCUUACCAAGGCAACGAUGCAUAGCCGACCUGAGAGGGUGAUCGGCCACACUGGAACUGAGACACGGUCCAGACUCCUACGGGAGGCAGCAGGAGGGAAUCUUCCGCAAUGGGCGAAAGCCUGACGGAGCAACGCCGCGUGAGUGAUGAAGGUCUUCGGAUCGUAAAACUCUGUUAUUAGGGAAGAACAUAUGUGUAAGUAACUGUGCACAUCUUGACGGUACCUAAUCAGAAAGCCACGGCUAACUAC